AUCCAGCAGAGGAGUCCUAAAUGGGACGAAAAGCGCGUCCUAGAU
rfam:Schistosoma margrebowiei strain Zambia genome assembly, scaffold: SMRZ_scaffold0003108